GUCUGUAUGGUGUAAUGGAUAGCACCUUGAGCUUCUAACUCAAUGAUCCGAGUUCGAUCCUCGGUACAGAUA
rfam:Only Syngen Nebraska virus 5, complete genome.